UAGGCACUUGCAAAGUAUCCCCGUUGUAAUAUCUAGACCAAUCUCUGCCAGUAAAUUAAUGUGAUAUUUCCCCUGGUUUGAUCAUUGUUCUUGUAUUUGUGACUUCCUCUUAUGUAAGUAGAGGUUGUGUAGCUAUCAAUUAUUUAUCUGUUUUGGGUGCUUUUGUCGAGGUACACGAGCUAUUGAUGAACUGGAAUCGUAUGCAGUUUAUGGUAGUUCUGUAUUUGGGCUCAUCAUGUUCCACGUAAUGCUUAGUGACCCGGAUAUUCAAAAUGGAGCAUGAUAAAAAUCCCAACAUAACAAACUAGAAACCGAAAUCACUAAUUGAUUGCAACCUGUGAGUUUUCUCUUUCUUCUAGAUUUGUUUAUUCAAACAUUUUAUCUAUUAAACCGUACGUUCAAAUCUCGCACCGCUUUCAUAGUUGGAUUCCUUGCGUCAAGUGUUUCAAAGCUAUAACCUAUGUUGGUAGGUUUUAAUGUGCUUUCAUUUUCAAGAAAAAAAUCAGUAGUAAAAACCGGACAAAAAAUUGAACCGGGAGCAUACUUUUUUCCUUUAUGAAAGAGGCAUGGCCGUGCGUCUCGUGAAAUCACAACCGUGUCUCUCACGAAAGAAAAAAAAUAAAAUAAAAAACGUAUUUUUUUUGUUUUUGAGAGGCACAGUUCGCGAAAGCACAACUAUGCCUCUCGCUGAAGUAAAAUCGUGCCUCUCGCGGAAGGAAAAGAAAGCAGAAAACAUGUUUUUUUCGUUUUCGAGAGUGUGCCUCUCGCGAAAGCAAAACUGUGCCUAUCAGGGAAACAAAAUCGUGCUUCUCAGGAUGAAAAAACCCAGAAAACACGCUUUUUUUGUUUUCAUUUUUGAAAGGCUCAUUCGUGCCUCUCGCGAAAGCAAAACCGUGUCUCUCGCGGAAAUAAAACCGUUCCUAUGAUAGAAGAAAAAAAACAUGUUUUUUUCGUUUUUGAGAGGCAUGGUUGUGCUUCUCUCAAAAGCAAAAACGUGCCCCUCGCAGAAGCAAAAUCGUGCCUCUGGUGGAAGAAAAAAAACAUGUUAUUUCGUGCAAAAUAAAUUUUAUUUCUCAAAAUUUUUUGUCCCAAAAGCUAAGGAAGACCGGUUGAAAACCAAAACAUCAAAAAAAUCCAGAAAAACCCGUUUAAUAAGUCGAAAACCCGUGCAAAAAAAUAUUCGAAUGAAGCGCCCAGAGCGCGACACGUGGCGGGCGGCUGAGAGCGCCCCAAGUGACGCUAAUCGUUGUGAGGCUCCGAAGGAGCAUUUGUCAACUAGUUGCUCCCAUUAGAAACGUUUCUGGAAAAACCAAAGUAGAAACCUCAUCUACCUCUCGCUCGCGUCAUCUCUUCUAGGAGACCCAGGGGCCCCAAAACCUAGUGUCGCCAGGCCCAUCCAUCAACUGCUCCCCUCCCAUCGCUGCUAGCGGCCUUUGCUGCGGUGGUGGCGGCCCCAGUUCCUCAAGGGGAUGGGGGACCUCUGACGGUAGCUUAGGGCUUGGUGGAUCGUGGGUCCCGAGGCGGUGGUUUCGUUUUUCGCGGCGACGGUAGCUGCUAUGGCCGCUAGAACGGUGUGCUGGUCAUGCUUAGGCGUCGGUGUCAGCGUCGUUGCUUUCGGGGGUCGCCUUGAAGAGCAUUGGAUCCUGUUUGUGCGCUUCAUGGCUGGACGCUUGCGGCAUUGUGGCUGACAAGUGUUCGUAUGUUGUGUGACUUCUUGUCUGGCAAUGAUGGCGACUUCGGGCGGAAUUGGGCUGUAAUCGAGCUUUGGUGGUCGGUCUCAUCGGAUGUGUUCGAGGGGUCGCCGUGCAUCAUUUGUCUUCCUGAAGUCAGAGCUACAAAGACGGUGCCCCACGGUGAUGAUAACAUGAGACGGGUGGUCGGUUCCCAUGCCGGCUCGGCGUAGGCUCAACGCUUUUCCCCUGCAAUGCUCAUCGACAGAGUUGGAGUUGUAUGUUCAUCGGCGCGUGCGAUUGACUGUUUGGCAUCGGCCGCCCAGGCGUCUGUGCUUGUUUGAGGUGGGGGCUACAUCGGUGGUCAUUGAUGGUUGAGUCGGAGUCGUCCUCACGAAGGAGUAAUAACGAUGACACUGAAAUGCAACCUCGCCGGCAUUUGUCUCCUCGAUGGUGCGUGUGCAUUCUUGUAUGGAUUGCCAGGUUACCCCGUAUGCCUUGUUUUUGCAGGCAUAAUGUAACAGAUUUGCCCUAUUUUCCAUUAGUUAGUCGGGCAUCUCUCUUCUUGCUUGAUGAAUUCUAGACCCUUGGGACCGGCUUAAAAAAAUGUAGCUUGAUCUCAUAUGUACCCAGAUGAAUCGGUGGAUCACUGAUUUUGCCUUUUUCGUAGAGGACUACGAAUAUCAGUUCUUCAUUAAAAUGCGUAUAUAGUUUUUUUUAGAGUACGCCUAAACGUAUCAUAUUUUAAUAGAAGGCAGAAGACAAAUAUAAAAAAAUACAACUUGUUACGAAUAACAAGUGUAGUUGAAAAUCUACACCCAAGCUAAUCAAACGAUUAGUCACCGCAACUAAUACAAACACAACACAAAGGGGCAUGCCCUAAACAGAUCGUCAAGCCACAUCUUGACAUGCACCAGACACUUCGAAGAGCAACAAUUUCAACGGAGCUUUUUCCUUGUCUGCGCACCAACCACCCUUUAAUGCCUAAGAGGAGACUACGAGUGGGUAGUGGCAUUCAGCCGGACCCGAGAAAGCCAUCGUCUUGGACUCACUGGCUGUUGCUUAAGCGCCCAUGAAGAUCAACUCAAACCAGCGACAAGCACCGGAGAACCAGUGCAAAGAACCUCCAAGUCAUGUCUUCAUAGACGAUGCUCCCAACAGAGUAACGCCACCAUCGCCGGUCCGGCAACGAACCUAGGCUUUCACUCGGAGACAACAAUUCGCUGAGAGGAGUGAUGGCGACACACCCUAAAGACGUCUCCAAGGAGGGAGACGAUACCGACGGGCGCCGUCGCCGCCAACACCAAUCGAAGAUGUGCACGAUUUUCAUCCGUAACGUCGUAGAUCUUCCCCCAUCCCAUUGGAUUGCGGCCAUAUUGUGCAUGUAGUGUCACAUAGCUGCCGCCGCAACACCUCGUCAUCGUGGCCAUAGCGCGGCGAAGCACCAACACCCCGCACGGCGGAGGAAAUGCAUUCUGAUAAGGACAUCUCUGCCACAGUUGCACCCACCGUGAUUCCUACAUCAGUUAUUUCAUCUAGACCUAUGACUAGAGCACGCGCGAGACAGAUAAAUGGCUAGAUACUAUCGCUUCUCUGUACAUAUGAUUUAACUAACGAGAAUGUGAUAUUACACUCAUGUUCGGAUUUACUUGUACUUAGGAACGAAGGUGUUGAAGAGAUGACGAGGGAAAGCCGCAUGCAAAUGAAAGAUGGAAAAUGUUGCAUGUUGAUUCCACAAGCAGCAACACUAUUGACAUGCAAGAAGCUAUCUAGCCACCUACGUGCUCAAGUGCAACAGGAGGAGGAAGAGUAUUAGGCCUCCUGGACCAGAGACGGCCACGUUCGCAUGCAGCCCACACCACUAACAGUUAAACAAGGAAAUCAUCUACAUGUGGGCCGGCUCAUGAUUAUGAUCUCCUUCGAGUCGUAGCCGACCAGGAUUCAUCCACGCGCAGGCGGUGGACGCGCCUAAUAAAUAGUUAGCUUGUAUUACGUUUAGACUCGAGUUUUAUUGUAUUGUUUAGCCAUCGCUAUAAUUUCGCAUCUACGAGAUGUGUGAAACUACCGUCUUGUCAGAUCCGUAGUGAAACCCUAACUUUUGAUCUAGUUCGUGUGCUUAAUUUUGAUCUAGUUUAUGUGCUUAAUUUUUCAUCCGCAAUUUCAGAUUACAAUUCACCUUUAUUCUUGUUGGUUCUUCGGUUGCUUGCUGGAACUCGAACCUCGUUAUUCAGGUUGAUCGUGCCUACGACAAUCUCAAUAACUAUCGGAGAUUGGUUUAGCGAUUGUCGCGGCGUUUCGUCGGGUACGGUAUAGCUGGAUCGUCAACGUCAAAAUCCAUCAAAUUGAUAGUUAUCCCCACUCUUAUCGAAAGAUCGGGCCGCCGUCACAUCAAGUGGUAUCAGUUUUUGGGUUUAUCAGUGAGAGAUUUACAGUUUUAGUAGAUUAGUUUAUUUUUCCGUCCUAUAAACCCACGAAAAAGCCAAAAAAGAUUAAAUUAGUUCAUCCGCCGCACCUAUCUUUUUAGCCUUUAGCAAUUUUUGCAAUUUGCGUAGUUUAAUUUUUGGUUGCAUUCAUCCUAGAAUUAGUGCUGGUUUAGAUUAGUUGGGGAAGAAAAUCAUUUACUAGAUCAAUCUGCUUUUGUCCACCCUCAUAUUCUCUAUCGCAAUGCGUUCUCAGUCAAAAAAAAGAGACAUAUAGCGAACCAGGCACUAAUUUCCAUUGCAGAUUCCCGCACGUACAUCGACCCAUCCAUACAGGCUUUCUGUUUCGCGAGCGGCCAGACAACCCGGCACAUUGUGUUUGCUGCCUCGCGCCGCAUCACCACAGGCUAACAUGCCAGCCGCCGGACAUCCCACGCUGGUUGUCCGACUCCACGCGUGCCACCACAAAUCUCCUCCGGCUAUUCCUGUGCAUUACACACUAGUAGUACUACUCCUAGCUAAUCUCGACUCUAAUACACUUCUAACUACUCCUUAGGCUGGUCAUAAUGGGCAAGAACAUAAGCUAGUAACUUCACACUUCUCUAGACUAUGUUACUACCACCAUAGUGGGUAGGAACAUCUAUGUAGUGUCGUGCAACGAUGUAUUUAUUAGGUUAUAGACUCAUUGUUUUUUGGAGUGUGUGAUGUUCCGGUAACUUAGCUAGUUACCACAAGCACCUCUCUCUUCACUAAAUACGUGCCACAUAAGCAAAGUUGUAUUGGAGUGUGUGAUGUUACUCAUAAAUUCCUCCCCACUGUGACCAGCCUUAGCACUUUGUUCAGUAGCUUUGCAUUUUUUUCUCUCUCUCUCAUGACUUGAAUUCUGUCCGUGAUUUUGCUAGUAGCCGGCCUAAAAAAAGCAAAAAAAGAGCAAAAAAAGUAAUAAAAAUAGUGAAAAAAAACAAACAAGGCCGCUUACAUAUGUUGAGAUUAAUCUCUUGCAAUUGAUAUUAUGGACAUUAUUUUGUUGCUCCAACCACCACAUCAUAUCAUUUGUAUCUGCUGGAGCCUUGUUCUUUAUCUGUGUGUCCCUCGCUACUUCAAUUAUCACAUAUCUUUGUUCAUGCGGUUUCAUUUACUUGUUUCAGUAUCUGGGCUUAGAUUAUUUCAUCUCUUACUAGUCGACUACCAGCACCAUUAGGAGUUUGAGCAAUUAUUCAACUUGCAUUACGUUUUGCUUAAUUUUGCCACAUAUUGUGAGUUGAGGAAACCUUCACCAAGCUCCACUCCCUAUAUUGUACCUUGUUCGGUCACUUAGUAAUCGCUAUAUCAAUCUUUUGAUAACUUUGUCAUAGCCAACGGCCGACAACCACUGCAACACAGUAAAAGCUGUUAAGAGCUUGGUAAUUGCUCGAGAGCCGAGGGACAUUUUCCACCGCCUGAUCGUAGUUACUGUAGGAGCAAUAUACUUGUGAUUUUGUUCUUGUUUCAUCCUAACCAUGGCAGGUGAUGAAGACAACAUGAAAGCUAUGGUGGCACGCCUGGAGGAGGAUGUGCAUGCAUACACCGAGCGGUUCACAUCGUUCGAGGGCGCACUUGAUAAGCGUCUCAAGUCGAUCGAGGAUAGCAACGUUCACUCAAACACUUGCAUCUAUUAUGAAACGUCUCGAUGCCCUUCUGGGUGCCGCCUCCACUGCCGGUCCGCGCCUUAUAGCCACCAACACAGGUCUACAAUGAGGUUGUCGGGUGCUCCCAGGGGACCCGAUGCACCCUCUUUCAUACAGUGAUGCCAUCGACCAGCCCCGUCCUUGCAACGCCAACUCGAUAGCCAGCCCGCAUGAGGACAUCCAAGAUGGCAACUAUGUUGGUGAUUCUGACGAUCUUGAUGUAGUUAACACUAACAAUGAUCAUGAUCAUCAUCCACUACGCAAUAAUCAACAAGGUAUGGGAUGCCACUAGCGUCCUCAGGUAUGUGGCCAUGACGACUCUUUGGGUAGAAUUAAAUUUGUCAUGCCUCCUUUUGACGGAAAAUAUGAUCUGGAUGUUUAUCUUGACUGCGAAUUAUUAGUUGAUCAAAAAUUUGCUUGCCAUGAUUUUCCUGAUGAUAAAAGAGUUAGGGCUGCAACUAGUGAGUUUAGUGAUUUUGCUUCUGUUUGGUGGAGAGAACAUUGUUGUGAACAUCCUAAUAAUAUUCCUUCCACUUGGGAAGUUUUGAAAUUAAUAAUGCGUCACCGUUUUGUUCCUAGACAUUAUGAACGUGACUUGCUAAAUAAACUACAACGCUUGAACCAAGGAUCUAAAUUUUUGGAAGACUAUUAUCAAGAAUUGGAAAUGGGCAUGUUACAUUGUGGUUUAGUUGAGACCGAGGAAGCCUCUAUGGCUAGGUUCUUGGAUGGAUUGAAUAGAGAAAUAUAUGACAUACUUGCUUAUAAGGAUUAUAAUUCAAUGACCCAUUUAUUCCAUCUUGCUAUACAUGGUGAACAUGAAGUGCAGGGUCGCUCGAGAAUGCGUUCUAAUUUUUCUGCAGGUCGUACUUCCACAUGGGCACCGUGCACCACUGCUACCCCGUCCACUCGACCUCUAGAACAACACCUGCAACCUCUCGACCGGGCCUACUUCAUCAACUUCAGCAUCACACACUUCGGCACCAUUGAAAAGUACUACACCAACUCCAACAAAAAAUUUGUCAUCAUCGUCCGCUUCCUCCAAAAGAACAAACGUUAUCCAGUGCCACACUUGUAAGGGAUUUGGCCAUGUCAUGAAGGAGUGUCCUAAUAAGCAUGUAUUGAUCAUUCGUGAAGACGGCAAGUACGACUCUGCUAGUGAUUUUGAUGAAGACACAUAUGCCUUGCUUGCUGCGCAUGAAGACGAUGACACAAGACUGGCGCAAGAGGAAGAACAUGUGAUCACCACCGCCGCCGAUAAGCACAUGAGUCUUAUAUCACAUCGUGUACUUAGUGCUCAUAUUGUCAAAGCAAAGAAGGCAACGUCACAACCUCUUCCACAUCAAAGGAGUCGUCAAGGAGCAUUCCGUUCGGAUAAUCAUUGAUGGAGGGAGUUGUAACAAUUUAGCAAGCAUUCACAUGGUGGAGAAGCUCUCCCUACCUUCCCUGACAACAUCCACAACCUUACUACAUUCAAUGGUUUAAUGAUGGUGGAAAGUUAAAGGUAACACGCAUGGCGAGAGUUCCUUUUUCUUUAGGUUCGUACCAUGACCCUAUUAAUUGCAAUAUUGUGCCUAUGCAAGCUUGUUCUAUGUUACUAGGAAGGCCAUGGAAGUAUGAUAAACAAUGUUUACAUGAUGGUAGAACUAAUCAGUACACUCUCACACAUAAAGGAAAGAAAAUCAUUCUACACCCUAUGUCUCCUGAGCAAAUUUUUAAAAGAUGGUCUUGCUAGGGCUAGUAGAAUUACAAAUACUGAGCAUACUAAAUCUGAAAAUCAGAAAGUUGUUGAUGAUGUGAACAAUUUAAUAAGAUGCACAAAUCUGAUCCUAGCACAUUUAAAGAAAUUAAAUUGAAAGGUGCUUCUUUCUUAGCUACACAUGCUGAAAUGUUUGAGUUAGAUGCUCAUACUGAUGAAUGUUAUGCUCUUAUUUUCAAGAAGUUUUGUUUUGAUUUGAGGAUAUGCCUUCUUCUUUGCCUCCUGCUGUCGCUAAUCUUUUGUAGGGGUAUCAUGAUGUUUUCCCAAAGGAAAUACCACCGGGGCUGCCACCUAUGAGAGGAAUUGAACACCAAAUGGACUUGAUACCUGGCGCCUCAUUACCCAACCGUGCACCGUACCAAACUAAUACAGAGGAGACUAAGGAGAUUUAGUGACAAGUUCAAGAACUACUCGAAAAAGGUUACAUUCGUGAAUCCCUUAGUCCAUGUGCUGUACCAAUUUUACUUGUUCCUAAAAAGAUGGUACUUCACGUAUGUGUGUUGAUUGUAGAGCCAUCAAUAAUAUUACAAUUCGAUAUCGUCAUCCUAUUCCUAGAUUAGAUGACAUGCUUGAUGAACUCAGUGGCUCAGUUGUGUUUUCUAAAGUGGACUUGCGUAGUGGCUACCAUCAAAUUCGUAUGAAACCAGGUGAUGAAUGGAAAACUGCUUUCAAAACUAAAUUUGGUUUAUAUGAGUGGUUAGUUAUGCCUUUUGGAUUGACUAAUGCACCUAGUACUUUCAUGGGACUAAUGAAUGAAGUUUUGCAAGCUUUCAUUGGAUGAUUUGUGGUAAUAUACUUUGAUGAUAUUUUGAUUUAUAGUAAGUCACUAGAGGAACACUUAGACCAUUUGCGUGCUGUUUUUUCUACUCUGCGUGGUGCACAUUUAUUUGGUAAUAUCAAGAAGUGCACUUUUUGCGUGGAUCGAGUUGCUUUUCUUGGCUCUGUCGUGACAGGCAUGGAAUUGAAGUUGAUAAAGCAAGGUUGAAGCGAUCCAGAGUUGGCUGAUCCCUAACUCGGUCACACAGGUAUGAAGUUUUCUUGGACUUGCUGGGUUCCACCGGCGGUUUGUGAAGGAUUUUAGUACCAUCGCAGCGGCGCUCAACGAGCUCACAAAGAAAAAUGUGCCAUUUGUUUGGAGCGACGCACAAGUGGUAGCCUUCACUAUUCUUAAAGAUAAGCUUACACAAGCCCCCUUGCUGCAAUUACCUGAUUUUAAUAAGAUGUUUGAAUUAGAAUGUGAUGCUAGCGACAUUGGUUGAGGCGGUGUUUUAUUUCAAGAAGGCAAACCAGUAGCAUAUUUUAGUGAAAAAGUCAGUGGGCCUAGUUUCAAUUAUUCAACAUAUGAUAAAGAACUUUAUGCACUAGUUCGGACUAUGGAGACAUGACAACAUUAUAUAUGGCCUAAGGAGUUUGUCAUAUAUUCCGAUCAUGAAUCACUCAAGCAUAUUAGAAGUCAAAGAGAAUUGAAUCGUAGACAUGCAAAAUGGGUUGAAUUUAUUGAAUCUUUUCUUUAUGUUAUUAUAAGAACAAGAAAGGGAAGGAUAAUGUUAUUGCCGAUGCAUUAUCUAGACGCUAUACCAUGUUAUCACAACUAGACUUCAAAUUUUUCGGACUUGAAACUAUAAAAGUGCAAUACACUAAUGAUGUCAAUUUUAAAUAUAUAUUGCUCAAUUGUAGAGAGGGUAGAACUCGGAACAAGUUCAUCGUUAGUGACGGAUUUGUUUUCGUGCUAAUAAGCUAUGAAUCCCAGAUAGCUCUGUUCGUCUUUUGUUGUUACAGGAGGCGCAUGGAGGUGGACUUAUGGGACAUUGUGGCAUCAAGAAGACAUAAGACAUCCUUGCUGGUCAUUUCUUCUGGCCGAAAAUGAGAAGGGAUGUGGAGAGAUAUGUUGUACACUGCACGACAUGCCAAAAAGCUAAUUCACGAUUGAACCCACAUGGUUCAUAUAUGCCUCUUUCUGUUCCUAGCACUCCUUGGGAAGAUAUAUCUAUGGACUUUGUAUUAGGGCUGCCUAGGACACAACGGGGGCGGGAUAGUAUAUUUGUGGUUGUUGAUCGAUUCUCUAAGAUGGCACAUUUUAUACCUUGUCAUAAAAGUGACGAUGCUACUCACGUUGCUGAUUUGUUCUUUGGAGAAGUAGUUCGUUUACAUGGUGUGCCAAAUAUAAUUGUUUUUGAUCGUGACACAGAAUUUCUUAGCCACCUUUGGAGGGUGUUGUGGACAAAAUUGGGGACUAAGCUUUUAUUUAGUACUAUAUGUCAUCCUCAAAUAGAUGGUCAAACUGAAAUGGUUAAUCGAAUAUUGUCUACUAUGCUUAGGGCUGUUUUGGAAAAGAACUUAAAAAUGUGGGAAGAAUGUUUACCUCAUGUAGAGUUUGGUUAUAAUCGUUCAGUUCAUUCUAGCACAAAGUUAUUCCCUUUUGAGAUUGUUUAUGGAUUUAUACCUCAGUCGCCUAUUGAUUUAUUACCUAUUCCAUCUUCGGAGAAGGUAAACCUUGAUGCUAAAGAACGUGCUGAGCUAGUAUUGAAAAUGCAUGAGAUGACUAAGAAAAUUAUUGAAUGCAUGAAUGAUAAGUAUAAACUUGCUGGUAGUCAGGGUAGGAAAAGUCUUGUGUUUGAACCAAGUGAUUUAGUAUGGUUACAUUUGCGAAAAGGCCGCUUCCCUGAUUUACGGAAGUCAAAAUUAAUGCCUCGUGCGGAUGACCCUUUUAAGGUGAUAGAAAAAAAUAAUGAGAAUGCGUGUAAGCUUGAUUUGCCUGCAGAAUUUCGGGUUAGUCCCACAUUUAAUGUUGUGGACUUAAAACCUUAUUUGGGAGAGGAUGAGAGUUACCGUCGAGGGCGACUUCGGUUCAAGAAGGGGGAGUUGCAUCCACCGCGACUCCUACAUCAGUUAUUCCAUUUGGACCUAUGACUAGAGCACGCGCCAGCCAGAUAAAUGGCCAGGUGCUAUCGCUCAUUUGUACAUAUGAUUUAACUAACGAGAAUAUGAUAUUACACUCAUCUUCAGAUUUACUUGUACUUAGGAACGAAGGUGUUGGAGAGAUGACGAGAAAAAGCCGCAUGCAGAUGGAAGAUGGAAAAUGUUGCACAUUGAUUCCACAAGCAGCAGUACUAUUGACAUGCGAGAAGCUACCUAGCCACCUACGUGCUCAAGUGCAAAAGGAGGAGAAGGAAUAUUAGGCCUCCUGGACCAAAGACGACCACAUUCGCAUGCAGCCCACACCACCAACAGUUAAACAAGGAAAUCAUCUACAUGUGGGUCGGCUCAUGAUUAUGAUUUCCUUCGAGUCGUAGCCGACCAGGAUUCAUCUACGCGCAGGUAGUGGCCGCACCUAAUAAAUAGUUAGCUUGUGUUAUGUUUAGACUCGGGUUGUAUUGUAUUGUUUAGCCAUUAUUACAAUCCGCUCUAUGAGAUAUGUAGGACUACUGCCUUGUCAGAUCCACAGUGAAAUCCCAACUUUUGAUCUAGUUCGUGUGCUUAAUUUUUCAUUCGCAAUUUCAGAUUGCAAUUCAUCUUUGUUCUUGCCGGUUCUUUCAUUGCUUGCAAGAACUCAAACCUUGUUGUUCAGGUUGAUCGUGCCUACGGCAAGGUCAAUAACCAUCGGAGAUUGGUUUAGCGAUUGUCAAGGCGUAUCAUUAGGUACAGUAUAGCCGGAUCGUCAAGGUCAGAAUCCACCAAAUUGAUAGUUAUCCUCACUCUCAUCGAAAGAUCAGGCCACCGUCACAUCAAGUGGUAUCUGUUUUCGGGUUCAUCGGGGAGGGAUUUGCAGUUUUAGUAGAUCAGUUUAUUUUUCUGUCCUAUAAACCCACGAAAUGGCCAAAAAAAUUUAGAUUAGUUCAUCCAUUGCAACUAUCUUUUUAGCCUUUACCAAUUUUUGCAUCUAAUAUUUGCGUAGUUGAAUUUUUGGUUGCAUUCAUCCUAGAAUUAGUGAUGGUUUAGAUUAGCUGGGAGAGAAAAUCAUCUACUAGAUCAAUCUGUUUUUGUCCACCCUCAAAUUCUCUAUCACAACGCUCGUCCUCAGUAAAAAAAGAGAAUAUAGCGAAUCAGGCAUUGAUUUUCAUUGCAGAUUCCCGUAACCCAACCAUACAGGCUUUCCGUUUCAUGACCGGCCAGACAACUGGGCACAUCGUGUCUGCUGCCCCGCGCCGCAUCACCACAGGCUAACACGCCAGCCGCCAGACAUCCCACGCUGGUUGUUUCACUCCACGCGUUUCACCACAAAUCUCCUUCGGUUAUUCCUAUGCGUUACACACUAGUAGUACUACUCCUAGCUAAUCUCAACUCCAAUACACUUCUAGCUAGCUCCGUAGCACUUUGUUCAGUAGCUUUACAUUUUUUUCUCUCUCUUGUGACUUGAAUUCUAUCCGUGAUUUUGCUAGCAGCUGGCCUAAAAAAAAAGCAAAAAACAGAGCAAAAAAAGUAAUAGAAAAAAACAGUGAAAAAAAACAAACAAGGCCGCUUACACGUAGUAGCCACUCCCUCCGCACUGUCAACACGUGCUACACCACAGGACCACACAACAGCCAGCCCUGACGGUUGUUCACCUGGCCGAAUGCCCCUGGCCCACUGCACGGCCUAACCAGUAUCGUCGGUGAUGGCCAGGGGAGCAUGGGAGGAGGGUCCUGAGCGGCUAAGUUUACUCCUCCAAUGCCUCCCCCGCAAGCGGCUCGGGAGGGAGACAUGAAAGGGGAAAGAGCUUGUAUGGGAUCUGGUAAACGUGUACAUAGUUAGAACACACAAGCAUGCUUGUUCAAAAAAAAGUCUCAUUUUCAAAAAAUUUAGCAAGCUUGUUCUAAAAAAGUCUCAUGUUUAUACUAUUUUCAUAUUUACUGUUCAACUCGGUUUAUAUGAGCUGGGGAGCGAAAGGCCUGCUCUGUUUUGGAUGCUAUUCUCUGUUCAGUAAUGUGGUAGCUCAUGCAUUUGGCUUGGGAGUGAGAAAUGUGUAGAUCAUGGUUUGCCACACAGGCUAACACGUGGAUAUUGCCUUGGAAGAUCUUAGAGAUUACUAGAAGCAAAUGUGGCCCUUGCCGCGCCGCUCUUCUUGUGGGACCUAUCUUUUACCGUGUUGAGUCCGGGUCACUGAUGGCUGAUCACCAAGCGAUGAAUGAAGAGUUUUUCCAAGGAUACGUCAAAGAUUGAUGUAUCGAGAUCAUAGAUAGAAAAUGCCUAGAAAGGCAGACAAUUUUACAACUUAGCCACGGCUAUGAAAGCCAAUGUUUGACAUGCCGAUUACUCACUAGUAGCCCACUCAUCUACUCUAACAGGGAGUGAUCCCGCCUCUCGAAGUAGCCCUGCUGCCCUCCAGUCUUGCCCUUCUAGAUCAAUCUUCUUGAGGAGCUCACUUGUGGAGGCCGCCGCUCCAUUGAACACUACAUCGUUCCUGUGCUUCCACAACAUCCAAGCCACCAAUGCAAUGAUGGUCCAUGUCUCCUUACUAAGUUUUGGCUGCGGGUUAACGGAGGUCCACCAUUCCACUAGAUUGCCAUCUACCCUUGGAAACCAAGUUAGUUUGUCCUACUGGUCGAGAAUGGAGAGCCACACUUGUCUAGCAAAGACGCAGCCGAGAAGGAUGUGAUUGAUUGUCUCCGGCUCUUGUUCACAGAAGGGGCAAGUUGAAGGAUGCGGUAGGUGCAGACGCACAAGCCUGUCAACCGUCCAACACCUCUCCCGAGCCGCCAGCCACGCGAAGAAAUUGCACGUCGCCAUCGCUCUUGACCGCCAGAUUUGCAUGGCUCCAGCGGCCUCCACUCUCCCAACAAAGAACACCCGGUAGGACGAUCUCGCCGAAAAGCACCCAUUUUGUUCCCACGCCCAGACCAAUCUGUCUUCAGUGCCAUCCAUGAGCUGAAUGUGUUGGGUUAUGUCCACAACCUGUAGGAACUCGGUCAGUGGUUGGGGGCUCAUGUUAGGUGACAUGUCUAGCCACCAACCUUCAGCUAUGGCUUGUCUCACUGUUCUCUCCCACGCUCUCCUUUGACUGCAGCGAAUAGGUUUGGCAUGAGAUCUUGGAUUCUACCAUCCCAUGACCACCAAUCUGUCCAGAACAAUGCUAGCUUUGCUUUGAGCGCUGCGUUGAGAAGGCACAAGUUUAGAAUGCCAAGGCCGCCGUACUCCAUUGGCAUGCACACCUAAUCCCAUGCCACUAGACAAUGACAGCCAUGUACAUCUCGAUGUCCCUUCCACAGAAAACCGAGGCAUAUCUUAUUUGCUGCUUCGAUGGUUUUCUCUGGCAGAUCUAGAGCCACCAUCGCAUGUAUGGGCAUGGACGCUAGCGUGGUCUUUACUAGAUCCAGACGCCCAGCCCUGAAGAGCAGUCUCGCUUGCCACGCGAGAAGCCGACCGGUCAUUCUAUCCACCAAGUGCUGCAAUUGCGAUGCCGAUAUCUUGCGCAAGCCCAAAGGCAUCCCGAGGUACCGGCAAUGCCAUCCGGUCACCUGGAAUCCCAACUGAUCGGCUAUCCACUGCACUAGCACCUCGAACAACAAAUCGGGUGUGCGGAACACUUAACCAUUUUCGUGCGAAGUCCCGAGCUGUACCAAAAUCUGUGAGCAACACAACACAUGCCCUAAGGCUUCGGCGUUCUGGCUUGAGAAAAGUGACUACAUCAUCCACAUAUAUUGUUGUCCUGUGCCAUAGCCCGGCUGGUGCAAGUGGAGUGAGCACACCAUCUGAAGCCGCACGUUGAAGUAGGUGGUGAAGGGCCUCCAUGACCAUAACAAAAAGCAGGGGGACAUAGGGUCUCCCUGCCGGAGAUCUUGCCAGUUAUAUAUGACCUCGCCUGGUAUUUCAUUGAGCAGUACCCUUGUUGAGGAGGAUGCAAGGAGACCGGCUACCCAAGAAAACCAUUUUGGGCUGAACCCAAGUUGCUUCAAAACCUCCAUCAAGAACGCCCAGUCCACAGUGUCAAAUGCUUUUGUGAUGUCUAGCUCAAGCAUGACCGAAGGUGUCGAGGAAAUAUGUAGCUUCUUUGCCAUGCCUUGUACCAUCAUGUAAUUAUCAUGUAGGCAUCUUCCUCUAAUGAAUGCACUCUGGUGAGCACCGACCAAGUGUGGCAUAUCGCCAAUAACCCGUGUCACUGGGACCUUGGCAGCCAGCUUGGGGAAGCUAUGAAUUAGGCUGAUUGGGCUGUAAUCCUCGACCUCAAGCGCGGUGGCAGAUUUUGGCAAAAGAGUGAUGAAUGUCUGAUUAAUGGAAGUCAUCCUACGAAAGUCUAUGGCCCCAAAUGAAUGGAAAGCUGCCAACACAUCGCCCUUAAUGACAAGCUAACAUGCGACAGAGAACCGGGCCGAGAACCCGUCCGGGCCCGGCGCCUUGUCGAAGUCUUGCACACGGAUCGCCUCCCAAAUCUCCUCAUGUGUGAACAAUCCCUCCAGAUGUGUCAUGUUAAAAGUUAGCAUUCCUAGCUCUCCUAGGUCCAGCGUGUAUGCCCGGUCCGGCGCCACUCCAAGCAGAUUGGCAAAAAAGGAGUCUACCGCCUCUGCAAUAGCGUCGUGAUCCCACGUCAUGAUGUCAUCUACUUUCAACUUUGAAAUGUAGUUCUUCCAUGUCCUAUAGCUUGCAUGCGCAUGAAAAAACUUUCGUGCAUGCGUCUCCAUUUCUCAACCAAUUAAAACGGGACCACUGCCUCGUGAUUGAGCGCUCUAGCGAUGCUAAUCUGAGGAGUUUCCGCUUGAUCAUUCGCCGUAGUUCCAUCUCAGUAGGGGAUAGCGAUCGUGUCUCCAUGGCGACAUCAAGCCGCAAAAUCACCUCGUUUGCAAUGGUCAACUGUUGUUUGAUGCUUCCCACAUAUUUAUCACUCCAGCUCAUCAGUUUGUUUGCGGUGGCCUUCAGCUUCAUAGAAAGCCUCUUGAAUGGGUUUUCCACGUCCGGAUGGCUCUCCCAGGCUUAUUGAACCACCUCAUGGAAGCCUUCAAUCUUUGUCCAAAAUUUCUGAAAGUGAAACCGCUUGCCUCGUCGAAGGUCGGCCUCCAGGAUGAUAUGUAGGGGGCAGUGAUAAGAUGUGCUAGUACUGAGAGCUGUGAGGAAAGACUGCAGGUGUAAUGGUUCCCAAUCUAUCGAAACCAAAACCCUAUCGAGCUUCUCGAGGGUAGCCUCUUGCCUGUCAUUGGACUACGUGUAUCUCCGGCCAUUGAGAUAUAGAUCUUUUGGGUCCAAGUCCGAGAUGUAGCGUCUAAACCGUCCCAUCAUCUGACGAUUUAUUCUUUCGUUCACUACGGCAGGAUGGUCCAAACGCUACAGUCCACUCAGAGACCCUUCGAUGAAACUGUGUGUGAUGCAUUAAUCGCAAACGAUGAUGUAAAAUAACCAAAAAAAUGAUACAAAAUGUUUGUGAUGGUGGAGACAUCAAAUACGAUCUAGAUUGUAGUAGCGUGUGUAAUAUGUGGCAUAUGGUUAAUCCAGAAGAACUGUUUGCGAUGAGUCAGAACAACAAAAACAGUCAGCCAUAUAAAGGUGUGUGCGAUAUACGGCAUACAGUUCACUCGGAUGAACUGUUUGCGAUUAGGGAACACAACAGAAACGGUCAGCGAGAUCAAGGUGUGUGCGAUAUACGGCAUAUAGUUCAUCGAGAUGAACUAUUUUUGAAUAAGCAACACAACAAAUACGGUUCAACUUAACAAGAUGUGUGUGAUAUGUGGCAUACAAUUCACAUAGAUGAACUAUUUGCUAUGAACCAAAAGAACACAAACGAUUCGUGUAAACAAGAUAUGUGUGAUACGCAGCAAACAACCACUCGGAUGAACUAUUUGCAAUGAGAAAAUAAAACAAAGACGGUUAUUAGAGUUAAUUCGUGUGCGAUUCUGUGUGUAGAAAAAACUUUGAAAAAUGCAAACCAGUUGCUUGCAAUGGCUAGGAGUAUCGCACAUGAUGCGCGUGCAAGUACUCGUGUGCGAUGAUUAGUAAGUUACACAUAUGUUUCCUUAAGUUAACACGUGUGUCGUAACACGUGACACCACAUACGGUUGUCUGGUUGUGUGCUCCACUUAGUCUUGCCGCGCUCCAGGAAGGCUUCCCACGCUCCACAAGGGUGAUUUGUAAAAUCCCCUAGCUAGCUGCUUGCUAUAAAUAACCACAACAAUGGCCACCGGUAACGACUCGCUACUGAUCCACUUGCUAGCUAGUUACCCACACAUACCGACAUACCCCCAACAGCCAACGACAGGAUGGAGUUGUGCGACGGGAAUGGGCACCGGAGAUCAUAGUUUAGGUUAAUUAAUUAUAUAUCCGGAGUAUAAUUAAUUAACAUAAUCUGAGAUCAAAUAAGUGAAGCUUCCCCAACGUGAUCGUGCGCUGGCCCCAACCGCUAGCAGAGCACGCACGCUGGGACGCAACCCGAGCGUGCCUUGGCGCCUAAACGGUAAACAAAGCGCACAGAGGGAUGCGACCCGAGGGUGCCUUGGCGCCUAAACGGAGAGCGGAACACGUAGAGGGAUGCGAGCAGAGCACGCCGCGACCGCCUAAACGACGAGUAAACACAUGCAUAAUUAUUUCAUACAGCAGAUGAACAUAGCCGGGAAUAGGCGUCCAAUAAUAUUAUUUUUGAUGACAUGCAUUAAUAUAUUCUUAGUUAAAUCCAAGGUAAAAGUUUGGUACUAUAAAAUACGAAGGGGGACAAUAAACCAUGACAGAGGUAGUACCUAUAUGAACACAAACGCCCAGUACAGAAAUUAAUGACAUUAUAAAUGUGUCUCGCAUUCCACACCAAUGCUUCCCGCCUCUUCCCUCAUCAGUUUCCCGCCACCAGCAAGUGGCUUGCUCCAUAUGACCCAGGCGGCAACGCACCGUAUCGACACUAUGCAUAGAUCUAGUCCACACCCAUCUACCAUUAGUUAUUCCAAGCAUGCUAGGCACUGAUGAAUGCUUCAAUGUCGACCCUUUCAUGCAUUACACCUUCGGCAAGGAGAACGAGCCAGAGCAGGUCGGGGAGCAAGAGCUUCAUUGGCCGGUGCUGGAGCCAUGGCCCAUCGGCAGCGAUAUUGCCGUGACAGUCCUUGAGGGUGCAAUGUACAUAUUGCAGAGGAAGUGUGAUGAAUAGUUUGCCAUCCACCAUGCAAAAGAUCCAGAGCUGCUAGGCGGCAUGAUCGAUGACCCACCCGAAGAGCCACCAUUACCAAUGCUCAUCGAGAGCCUAAUGCCCUGCAAGGAAUGGGUAGAGGACCUCUGCGAUUCAAUUAUGAGAUAGCCAGCCUACGGCUUCAUCAUUGUCGGCGGCGGUCGUGUCAACCUCGAUCCCGAUGAUGUGGUCGCUAGGCUUGAGCGCAUCCAUGGCUGAGUUGACAUCCCCGACGAAGUAGAACAUCGCCAAUGUGGUAUCUUGAGGAUGCAGGUGAUGGAUGGAAUUUGCUACCAGGGCAGACACAUGGAAAUGGAGUGGUUCCGCGGGUGUGUUAUGCGCGCAAUUGAAUGCUAUCAAGCUGUUCUUGAAGAGGCCCAGCAGCCCCAAGAGCCUCCCAGCACCAGCAGCUCCGUAGGCGGAGACGGGUAACGUGGCUGCGGGUCGGGACACUUAGAAUGAAUGGCAACAAGGGUGCUAUGCUGAUCAUGGAGUCCGAGAAGACAGUCAUCGGAAGGCCGCCAGCUCAACCUUUUAGCCUAUAUUUUAUUAUAAUUGUAUGCAAAUAUCGCAUAUCGACAUUUUAAGUCACUAAGCAUAUGUAGCUCGUGUGUGUUUUGGGCAUUGACGCAUGUGGCAUUUUAAAUUAUCCUGAAUUUGUAAGACACUAUUAACCAUUGCCAUUGUAAAUUUGCCUGAACGAUGAGUAGAGUGCGCGUAGGGAUGCCAGAGAGGAGCGCGCCAUGAUUUUCUCAAUGGAGAGCAAAAUGCGUGGACAAAUGCGAGUAGAGCACGCCGCGUCCAUCUCAAUGACGAGCAGAGCGCGCGCAUGCGGCAGGGGGGAGGAGAAGAGCGUGCCGCGGCCACCUAAAAGGCAAGCAACCACACCUGCGUAUUGCAAUUCUGGUCAACCUUUUGGCACCCCGUGGGAGGCGCUACGGCCCAUCCAUCGGACAUGAUGGUGAUAGCUAGACCAUGUGUGAUAGUGGGCAGACACAUACAUGUCCAAGAAAGCGGGCCCACGUACGCUAUCUGGGAACCGUUUUGGGCUUCAAUCCCAGAACCAUCAAUAAAUUUUGAGUUUGUUUCUCGUCACAUUCCAGAGUACCACGUAAUAAGUUACUGCAAAUCUGGUCACACUGAUCCAACCUAAACAUGUUCCCACUUAGCACUGGGUUAUAAAAACCACCCACUCGAAAUUAGUUUACAAUUCCUCUCCUCAUCACACAAAAAAGAGGUCUUUGCCAUGACCGGUUGUGGGGACCCCAACUCAUAAGUCGAGAUCACCGAAUGCACGUGUACAGUGAUCCCGGAGAUCAAUGCUCACUAAACACACAUAAGUUGAAUACAGGAGUCUUACAUCCAUACAUACCGUCUUACACAAGUUAUGACCGUUAUGGUCAAGUCUUACAUAGAUAAAGCCUUAAGGAUUGAACAUCAAAUAAAGCACAAGCAGCGGAAAUCUUCGUCUAUAAGUAGAACCCAUGCCAUCUGCCUUAACCCUACAGGCAUUCUGACUGGGAAAGCGUCCUAUCUCGCAUGUUGUCACCAAAGAACUCUUCUUCAUAUCAAGAUCUUUCAUACCCGGCCAAUUAAAUAACCAGUGGCAAGGCAAUGAGUACUUUGAAUGUAGGCUCUACUGCUAAAUUGGCAUUUUUGCGCAAAGCUAGUUUUUCUCAUGCAAGUAUGAUCAACAUUUAUCAAGGAUAUGAAUGCUUCUGCAGCAAGUGUCAGGAGGUUACAGACAUCAACAUCGAGAAAGAGUUAUAAACAACUCAUGCUCAAGCUCAUCGUGACUUCCUCAUGAAUCACAUUAUCAAUAUUACCAAACCGUGUUGUUUGUCAGAAACAUAUGGCCAUAGUCUAAGCAGCACUACCCAACUGUCCUUGACCGUGGACACGACUAUUUGAAUAGUUUGACACUCUGGAGAGGUUGCACACUUUACCCACAAGAUCCGGGAAGCUUUCAUGUCAUCCACAACCCGCGGUACCUCAAGUACCAGGGGUAAGCACCCGAUCACUACCUUUCCCUUGCCGUGACUAACAAGGAGUCCACUCGAUUGGUACCAGCCCUCGUGCCAACAUUAUCACAUAAUAAAUUUUUGUGGAUCCACGCUCCCAUAUUAAUCAUAUAACACAAGCACGGGGUACCAGCGAUGUGUCUGGUGCCCUGUAAAAACAGUCAAGGCCACACUACCUGGCACGACCCCGUCCCGAGAGUGAUCAUGCCACUCUCGUCAAUAGUAAUGCGGGCAUUCAUGUUAGCACGAACUAGGUAAUCAAUAAUGUCCUUUUGCAUAUAAGGGUAGAGUGGUUGCACAUGUAGGGUUGGGACGGUCAACAAAUCUUAAAUCUAAUCCGUCUUUGUAAACAAAACUUUCAUCAAGCCUCGGUACACUACCUAUCCACCAACUAGUGACCUAGUUCAUCAUCAUCUCCCAGGGGCAUUAGUGGCACCCACUGGGCUAUUUGCAAGUAUGUCAAACCACACUUGUUUCUUUCCAUGCAUAACUCUGACCCAUUUUGCAUAGCCAACUACUAUAGCAUAUUUCUACAACCCACCAACACAGCUCUAAACAAGGAUAGAGUCAUGAACAAUGUAAGUAUCAACGGGGUAUGCACCGGAGGCAAGCCUAGCAAGGUUGCCAUUCAAGAUAUCAUGCAUUCAACAAUAAGGGAAAGAAAUGCUAUUAUGAUAAAAAGGGUUCUUCAUGGUCAAAGGGCUGCUUGCUUGUCUUAACCAAGUCCCUGGGUCUUCAAAUGUCUCUGGUCCAACUCCUUCAUCAACGUUGUAAUCUAACGUUGCAAAAAUAACGGCACAAAGUAAGACCAUAACACAAAAAAAAAA
rnacentral:lncRNA from 1 species